rnacentral:rRNA from 1 species
UACACUCCUGCGGGAGGCAGCAGUAGGGAAUCUUCGGCAAUGGGGGCAACCCUGACCGAGCAACGCCGCGUGAGUGAAGAAGGUUUUCGGAUCGUAAAGCUCUGUUGUAAGUCAAGAACGAGUGUGAGAGUGGAAAGUUCACACUGUGACGGUAGCUUACCAGAAAGGGACGGCUAACUACGUGCCAGCAGCCGCGGUAAUACGUAGGUCCCGAGCGUUGUCCGGAUUUAUUGGGCGUAAAGCGAGCGCAGGCGGUUUGAUAAGUCUGAAGUUAAAGGCUGUGGCUCAACCAUAGUUCGCUUUGGAAACUGUCAAACUUGAGUGCAGAAGGGGAGAGUGGAAUUCCAUGUGUAGCGGUGAAAUGCGUAGAUAUAUGGAGGAACACCGGUGGCGAAAGCGGCUCUCUGGUCUGUAACUGACGCUGAGGCUCGAAAGCGUGGGGAGCGAACAGGAUUAGAAACCCUGGUAGUCCCA